rnacentral:rRNA from 1 species
GAACGCUAGCGAUAGGCUUAACACAUGCAAGUCGAGGGGCAGCACGGGAUAGCUUGCUAUCUGGGUGGCGACCGGCGCACGGGUGCGUAACGCGUAUCAAACCUGCCUCAUACUCGGGGAUAGCCUUGCGAAAGUAAGAUUAAUACCCGAUGUUGUUAUGUUACCGCAUGGUGAUAUAACCAAAGAUUUAUCGGUAUGAGAUGGUGAUGCGUCCGAUUAGGUAGUAGGCGGGGUAACGGCCCACCUAGCCAUCGAUCGGUAGGGGUUCUGAGAGGAAGGUCCCCCACACUGGAACUGAGACACGGUCCAGACUCCUACGGGAGGCAGCAGUGAGGAAUAUUGGUCAAUGGACGGAAGUCUGAACCAGCCAAGUAGCGUGCAGGAUGACGGCCCUCUGGGUUGUAAACUGCUUUUAGUUGGGAAUAAAAAAGAGGACGUGUCCUCUAUUGUAUGUACCUUCAGAAAAAGGACCGGCUAAUUCCGUGCCAGCAGCCGCGGUAAUACGGAAGGUCCAGGCGUUAUCCGGAUUUAUUGGGUUUAAAGGGAGCGUAGGCGGAUUAUUAAGUCAGUGGUGAAAGACGGUGGCUCAACCAUCGUUAGCCAUUGAAACUGGUAGUCUUGAGUGCAGACAGGGAUGCUGGAACUCGUGGUGUAGCGGUGAAAUGCUUAGAUAUCACGAUGAACUCCGAUCGCGAAGGCAGGUGUCCGGGCUGCAACUGACGCUGAGGCUCGAAAGUGUGGGUAUCAAACAGGAUUAGAUACCCUGGUAGUCCACACAGUAAACGAUGUAUACUCGCGGUUUGCGAUAUAUUGUAAGCCGCCAAGCGAAAGCAUUAAGUAUACCACCUGGGGAGUACGCCGGCAACGGGA